rnacentral:rRNA from 1 species
GAUGAACGCUAGCGGGAGGCCUAACACAUGCAAGCCGAGCGGUAUUUGUCUUUCGGGACAGAGAGAGCGGCGUACGGGUGCGGAACACGUGUGCAACCUACCUUUAUCAGGGGGAUAGCCUUUCGAAAGGAAGAUUAAUACCCCAUAAUAUAUUGAAUGGCAUCAUUUAAUAUUGAAAACUCCGGUGGAUAGAGAUGGGCACGCGCAAGAUUAGAUAGUUGGUAGGGUAACGGCCUACCAAGUCAGUGAUCUUUAGGGGGCCUGAGAGGGUGAUCCCCCACACUGGUACUGAGACACGGACCAGACUCCUACGGGAGGCAGCAGUGAGGAAUAUUGGACAAUGGGUGAGAGCCUGAUCCAGCCAUCCCGCGUGAAGGACGACGGCCCUAUGGGUUGUAAACUUCUUUUGUAUAGGGAUAAACCUACUCUCGUGAGAGUAGCUGAAGGUACUAUACGAAUAAGCACCGGCUAACUCCGUGCCAGCAGCCGCGGUAAUACGGAGGGUGCAAGCGUUAUCCGGAUUUAUUGGGUUUAAAGGGUCCGUAGGCGGAUCUGUAAGUCAGUGGUGAAAUCUCACAGCUUAACUAUGAAACUGCCAUUGAUACUGCAGGUCUUGAGUAAAGUAGAAGUGGCUGGAAUAAGUAGUGUAGCGGUGAAAUGCAUAGAUAUUACUUAGAACACCAAUUGCGAAGGCAGGUCACUAUGUUUUAACUGACGCUGAUGGACGAAAGCGUGGGGAGCGAACAGGAUUAGAUACCCUGGUAGUCCACGCCGUAAACGAUGCUAACUCGUUUUUGGGGCUUUAAGCUUCAGAGACUAAGCGAAAGUGAUAAGUUAGCCACCUGGGGAGUACGUUCGCAAGAAUGAAACUCAAAGGAAUUGACGGGGGCCCGCACAAGCGGUGGAUUAUGUGGUUUAAUUCGAUGAUACGCGAGGAACCUUACCAAGGCUUAAAUGGGAAUUGACAGGUUUAGAAAUAGACUUUUCUUCGGACAAUUUCCAAGGUGCUGCAUGGUUGUCGUCAGCUCGUGCCGUGAGGUGUUAGGUUAAGUCCUGCAACGAGCGCAACCCCUGUCACUAGUUGCCAUCAUUCAGUUGGGGACUCUAGUGAGACUGCCUACGCAAGUAGAGAGGAAGGUGGGGAUGACGUCAAAUCAUCACGGCCCUUACGCCUUGGGCCACACACGUAAUACAAUGGCCGGUACAGAGGGCAGCUACCAGGCGACUGGAUGCGAAUCUCGAAAGCUGGUCUCAGUUCGGAUUGGAGUCUGCAACUCGACUCUAUGAAGCUGGAAUCGCUAGUAAUCGCAUAUCAGCCAUGAUGCGGUGAAUAAAAGCCCGGGCCU